AGGGCCGGCAUGCCUCUGCUGCUGGCCAGAGCUCUUUUCACAUUGUGCUACUGUCUGCACCUGUCACUAGCAGUGCAAUGUUAAAAGGGCAUUGGCCGUGUAGUGCUACCCAGCGCUGGCUG
rnacentral:precursor_RNA from 1 species